rnacentral:rRNA from 1 species
GAUGAACGCUGGCGGCGUGCCUAAUACAUGCAAGUCGAGCGAACGGACGAGAAGCUUGCUUUUCUGAUGUUAGCGGCGGACGGGUGAGUAACACGUGGAUAACCUACCUAUAAGACUGGGAUAACUUCGGGAAACCGGAGCUAAUACCGGAUAAUAUUUUGAACCGCAUGGUUCAAAAGUGAAAGACGGUCUUGCUGUCACUUAUAGAUGGAUCCGCGCUGCAUUAGCUAGUUGGUAAGGUAACGGCUUACCAAGGCAACGAUGCAUAGCCGACCUGAGAGGGUGAUCGGCCACACUGGAACUGAGACACGGUCCGGACUCCUACGGGAGGCAGCAGUAGGGAAUCUUCCGCAAAGGGCGAAAGCCUGACGGAGCAACGCCGCGUGAGUGAUGAAGGUCUUCGGAUCGUAAAACUCUGUUAUUAGGGAAGAACAUAUGUGUAAGUAACUGUGCACAUCUUGACGGUACCUAAUCAGAAAGCCACGGCUAACUACGUG